GGGGGGUGGGGUGUUUGGAAAUGUUGCUGCAGUGAUUUGGGGAAAGGAAGUACUAUGUACAGGAAAAACAGGAAUAUAAUUAUGUAAGCCAGUAAAUAAUAGGCAAUAUCAAAAUAAAUAAUAGCUGUUGACUCCCAACAGUUGUCUUCUCUAGGUUAAAGAGUGUAGUAAUCCAUCUCAGGCACGUGCCGUCAGGGUAGGCAAGGUAGGCACUGCCUACCCUGACUAAAAUUAUAAAAUCGUAAUAACUAAAUAUAAAUAAUAAAGGCAUGGGAGAAUUAUGCCUAUCUAAGAGAUCGAUCUCUUUGGUAGGCAUAAUUCUCCGUGCCUUUCAUCCGCAGCGCUUGUAACCCUUGAAGGUCUGUGCAGCCCACGUGCCGUCAGCGCUGCUGGAAGCUGUCAAUUUCAAGCGGGGCUGAAGGCAGCAGAAAUUCUGCCUUUGCAGCACUGCGCAGGCGCAGCGCUACUUUCUUGGCGGGGUUUUCAAAUAUGGAUUGCCAUUAUUUUAAGUGUAUUUUAGGAGAGAGAAGAAUGGAGCUUGUGUACCAAUGAUGUGGCGAUGCCUUACCCGGGUCACCGUGUGGUAAGCUCCAGAGUGCUGAGACCGCCGACUCCAACAUCGCGGAGCUGUGGUUGCGGAGCGUCCAGCUGCGGGUGGCGCUGACUUUCAAACACCGUGGAGCCUGGGAUCUCUCGCCGAGAUCGCCAGUGUCGGAGUUCUGACCAGCGCGGCCUGUGGACUUCGGGAGCUGCAGUCUCUGGGGCGGAAGCGUCUGUUCUGGACACUCCAAGCCGCUGAAGAGUGUUCUCCCGAUGCCGGAGCUCCAUCAACCGGCGAGUGGGCCUGUAACAUCGGGCCGCCGUUGCGGUGACUAGGGAGGCCUCAAAUAGGCCCCGACCACGGGGUGAACAAGAGGAAGAGGACUGGACUUUGUUUCCUUCCCUCACAGUGGGAACUAUUGUGGGGGGGAUGUUUUUAUGUUUUAUGUUAAAUUCUUCUUUAAUGUUGUGUCUUAUAUUUAUUGGUGUGCUGCAAAUGGCAACUCAAAUUUCCCUACACCAAUUGGUGUAUGGGACAAAUAAAUGUCCUUUGUCCUUCGAUUUAUCUGUUAAAGCCACUCGAUGUAUAAUGAAAAUUCAUCUAAAGAAUACGGACAGUAGAAGCUACAUGAAUCGUAAUCUAAUGUCUUGGGCAUCCUUGUAUCUUCCAUCGUUUACCAUUUUAAUUGAAUCACAUAGUUUACUGCUUGUCAGCACAUUUCAGUGAUAUCUCAAUUGGGAGCAAUAACUUGCAAUUUUUGUUGUUCUGAUUCAAAAUGUUAUGGCAACAAAAUGUUAUAACCUCAUCAACCACCACUUCUGACAUGUCUUAAUAUCUAGACACUGUAAAAAUAAUACUAAGUCAAACUGACAACAGAGUGACGAUUAAAUAAAAUAAAAUUAGCAGGAUUCAGAGAAUUGAUUGCUUUUCACCAUUGAGCAGGAUUGCUUGUGUUGCAUGUGAAGUCGUGUUGCAGCCAAGAGAGCAGUCAGUAAUGUGGUAUGUUCCUUAAAGCCGUACAGUCUUAAAACAAUGACGAAUAUUACCAAUCACGGUCAUCUGUGAAAAAGAUAUUAUGCAGGGUAGCAAGAGCCUUAUUAAUGAAGAGCAACACUGAAUUACUUUAUCUGGAUUGAUGCAUCAGUCAAGCAUUAACCAUUCCAGGCUGAACUCAGCAGCUGAGAUCCCGAGUGAGCCUGAGAAACUUUAGAUUUCAGUGAAACUAAUGUGUUCAUUAGCAUUACCUUGCACUACUGAACAUAACUUUUGCAUUUGUGUUUCCAAGUAACUAAGUGAAUAUUGCAUUUGUAAGUG